rnacentral:rRNA from 1 species
CCCUUGUGUAACCAUGUUAAGACCUCGAUCGAGGUUUUGUUAAACCCUCAAUCAAGCUAUUUCAAAUUUUACCUUAAGCACUUUAUCAAUAUUUUGAAGUGCACGAUCGGGUUGUUGAGGGCAUAAAAACUAGAGUUUUAGUUCCCCUUCUCCGAGUUUCUCUGCAACACCAUUUUGUACCCUAACAAAAUUUAGGCAAAAUUUGUAAAGCAAGCUAAUUCGCGUUGUUCGGUGAGCCCACGUAGUAUCAGGUUAGUUGGUUAGGUAAAGGCUGACCAAGCCAAUGAUGCUUAGCUGGUUUUUUCGGAUGAUCAGCCACACUAGGACUAAGACACAACCCAGACUCCCUUGGGGAGUAGAAGUGGGGGAUAUUGGACAAUGGGCUCACGCCUAAUCCAACAAUAUCGCAUGGGUGAAGAAGGGAAUUGUCGCUUUUCAAGCUUUUUCGUCGAGUUUUGAUCAUGACAAGACUCGAGGAAGAAGCCCCAGCUAACUCUGUGCCAACAGCCGCGGUAAUACGGGGGGGCAAGUGUUAUUCGGAAUGAACUGGGCCGUAAAGGGCACGUAGGCGUGAAAAGGGUGGAAAAGUGAAAGUCGCCAAAACUGCGGGGUGCUUUCUGACCAUUCACUUGAGUGAGAUAGGGGAAGUGGAUAAUUCUGUGAAGGAUCAAAUCCUAAGAUAUACGAAGGAACGCCAACAGCGAAGGUAGCUCUCUGGGUCCCCACUGACGUUGGGGUGCGAAAGCAUGGGAGCAAACAGGAUCAGAUACCGUGGUAGUCCAUGCUCUAAACGAUGAGUGUUUGUCCUUGGUCUGCCUACCUACUAGGUAGGAUUAGGAUCAGGGGCCCAGCUACGCGCUGAACCACUCCGCCUGGAGAGUACGGUCGCAAGACUGCAAACUCAAAGCGAUAUUGACGGGGGGCCUGCCCCACAAGCCGGUGGAGCAUGUGCGGUUUAAUUCGAUACAACGCGCAGAACCUUUAUCCAGCUGCUUGUACAUAUUGAAACAAGUGUGUGCCGUGUCCUUAACGGGAUGGCUGUCCUAAAAUUCAUACAGGUGUUGCAUGGUUAUCGUCAGCUCGUGCCGUGAGAUGUUUGGUUAAGUCAUAUAACGAGCGAAACCCUCAUUUUUUGAUGUUGAAACAUGCGCUAAUGGAUCAAUGUCAUCACCCCUUCUCAAGGGCAAGGGUGAGUAAGCGAACUCUCGAAGGCAAGCACAUAUUUUUGAUUGAUGACACUUCCCUAUGGAAGGAGGUGCGUGCUUGCACUCACAAGAGACUGCCAGUGAUACGCUGGAGGAAGGUGGGGAUGACAUCAAGUCUACAUCUAACACUUGAUAUAUAAAGGGCAAAGGAAAAUGAUCUUUUAAAGUAGAUUUAUUCAAUUCUCGAUAAUCAGUACAUACCCUCCAUUUACCAUUCUUUUU